GCCCAGGUAGCUCAGUUGGUUAGAGCAUUCGCCUGAAGAGCGAAGGGUCGCCGGUUCGAAUCUGGCCCUGGGCA
rnacentral:tRNA from 1 species